CUCCCAAAUAUCAUUCUCUGGUCUCUUUCAACUUUUCCAAAUCGACACAACAACAAUCGAUCUUUCGCCUCUCUCUUCUUCACCUUUCUUUCACAAUCAUCAAAUUGGAAACCCUAAAUUAGCCGCGUCACCAACAUAGUUUCCGCUCCUUUGAGGAGAAUCUUUCACUUUUGGGUCGUCCACAAUCCGUGACUUCACCAGGAGAGUAAGAACAGACCCAAAUUGAUGCAAGAGUUAGUUUUUGAUUUCAAAUCCGCAUUAAAUGCGCGAGAAUCGUCCAAAUUUGAGGAGAGAUUUGUCCCUUUUAAUUUUUGAAUUCCGAUUUCCCCCUCCAAUUUGCCCGUUGGCUUCUUUAAAUUUUUUAUUUCAAAUUCGAACUGUCAAGUUCGAAUUUGCCUAUAAAUACCCACAUUUUUAUUCAUUUCAGAAUAAGUUUUUGGUAAGGAGGAAGGGGGAAUAUGGAGAGAGGGUGAAAGAUCUGAAAAGAAAAGCAAAUUUCGUGAUAAGAGUAAAGGAAAUUCAUUAAAAAUAGAAAAACGAGUGAAAAUAGGGAACAAAGAACAGGGGUCUCAAAGAAUUGGUAGCCUUCUUUUCUGAUUUCGGGACUAAUUUCUAAGCUCUGCAAUUCGAGUUAAUCAUCGAAAAAUGCUUGACGGGAAGCCUUUCUUUGCUGCACCCCAAAAGUUGAGGUUCUGUAUCUGAUACAAUAAUAAUCACGGAUACGGACUUAUAAAAGGGUGCGCGUUGGUCUCGAGACUUGGUGUUCAACUUAAGUGUAGAAAAGGCCCAAAA